GAUGAACGCUGGCGGCGUGCCUAAUACAUGCAAGUCGAGCGAACGGACGAGAAGCUUGCUUCUCUGAUGUUAGCGGCGGACGGGUGAGUAACACGUGGAUAACCUACCUAUAAGACUGGGAUAACUUCGGGAAACCGGAGCUAAUACCGGAUAAUAUUUUGAACCGCAUGGUUCAAAAGUGAAAGACGGUCUUGCUGUCACUUAUAGAUGGAUCCGCGCUGCAUUAGCUAGUUGGCAAGGUAACGGCUUACCAAGGCAACGAUGCAUAGCCGACCUGAGAGGGUGAUCGGCCACACUGGAACUGAGACACGGUCCAGACUCCUACGGGAGGCAGCAGUAGGGAAUCUUCCGCAAUGGGCGAAAGCCUGACGGAGCAACGCCGCGUGAGUGAUGAAGGUCUUCGGAUCGUAAAACUCUGUUAUUAGGGAAGAACAUAUGUGUAAGUAACUGUGCACAUCUUGACGGUACCUAAUCAGAAAGCCACGGCUAACUACGUGCCAGCAGCCGCGGUAAUACGUAGGUGGCAAGCGUUAUCCGGAAUUAUUGGGCGUAAAGCGCGCGUAGGCGGUUUUUUAAGUCUGAUGUGAAAGCCCACGGCUCAACCGUGAAGGGUCAUUGGAAACUGGAAAACUUGAGUGCAGAAGAGGAAAGUGGAAUUCCAUGUGUAGCGGUGAAAUGCGCAGAGAUAUGGAGGAACACCAGUGGCGAAGGCGACUUUCUGGUCUGUAACUGACGCUGAUGUGCGAAAGCGUGGGGAUCAAACAGGAUUAGAUACCCUGGUAGUCCACGCCGUAAACGAUGAGUGCUAAGUGUUAGGGGGUUUCCGCCCCUUAGUGCUGCAGCUAACGCAUUAAGCACUCCGCCUGGGGAGUACGACCGCAAGGUUGAAACUCAAAGGAAUUGACGGGGACCCGCACAAGCGGUGGAGCAUGUGGUUUAAUUCGAAGCAACGCGAAGAACCUUACCAAAUCUUGACAUCCUUUGACAACUCUAGAGAUAGAGCUUUCCCCUUCGGGGGACAAAGUGACAGGUGGUGCAUGGUUGUCGUCAGCUCGUGUCGUGAGAUGUUGGGUUAAGUCCCGCAACGAGCGCAACCCUUAAGCUUAGUUGCCAUCAUUAAGUUGGGCACUCUAAGUUGACUGCCGGUGACAAACCGGAGGAAGGUGGGGAUGACGUCAAAUCAUCAUGCCCCUUAUGAUUUGGGCUACACACGUGCUACAAUGGACAAUACAAAGGGCAGCGAAACCGCGAGGUCAAGCAAAUCCCAUAAAGUUGUUCUCAGUUCGGAUUGUAGUCUGCAACUCGACUACAUGAAGCUGGAAUCGCUAGUAAUCGUAGAUCAGCAUGCUACGGUGAAUACGUUCCCGGGUCU
rnacentral:rRNA from 1 species